CCUACGGGUGGCAGCAGUGAGGAAUAUUGGUCAAUGGGCGCGAGUCUGAACCAGCCAAGUAGCGUGAAGGAUGACGGCCCUACGGGUUGUAAACUUCUGUUAUAAAGGAAUAAAGUGAGGCACGUGUGCCUUUUUGUAUGUACUUUAUGAAUAAGGAUCGGCUAACUCCGUGCCAGCAGCCGCGGUAAUACGGAGGAUCCGAGCGUUAUCCGGAUUUAUUGGGUUUAAAGGGGGCGUAGAGGGGUUGUUAAGUCAGUUGUGAAAGUUUGCGGCUCAACCGUCAAAUGGCAAUUGAUACUGGCAGUCUUGCGUACAGUUGAGGUCGGCGGAAUUCGUGGUGUAGCGGU
rnacentral:rRNA from 1 species